rnacentral:rRNA from 1 species
ACUCCUACGGGAGGCAGCAGUGGGGAAUUUUGGACAAUGGGGGCAACCCUGAUCCAGCCAUGCCGCGUGCGGGAAGAAGGCCUUCGGGUUGUAAACCGCUUUUAGCCGGGACGAAAGCUGUACGGAUAACACCCGUGCGGGUUGACGGUACCGGCGGAAUAAGCACCGGCUAACUACGUGCCAGCAGCCGCGGUAAUACGUAGGGUGCGAGCGUUAAUCGGAAUUACUGGGCGUAAAGCGUGCGCAGGCGGUUCGUUGUGUCGGCGGUGAAAGCCCGGAGCUCAACUCCGGAAUUGCCAUUGAAACUGUUUGGCUCGAGUACGAGAGAGGUGAGUGGAAUUCCCAGUGUAGAGGUGAAAUUCGUAGAUAUUGGGAAGAACACCGGUGGCGAAGGCGGCUCACUGGCUCGUAACUGACGCUGAGACGCGAAAGCGUGGGGAGCAAACAGGAUUAGAUACCCUGGUAGUCCACGCUGUAAACGAUGGGUGCUAGUUGUGGCGGGUUUUGACCCCUGCCGUGACGCAGCUAACGCAAUAAGCACCCCGCCUGGGAAGUACGGCCGCAAGGCUGAAACUUAAAGGAAUUGACG